rnacentral:lncRNA from 1 species
AGCAUUUUUAUUGGUCACGGUGACCAGGAAGUUCCGGAAGAAGACCAGUUAGUGAAGUGCCCAACACACGUGAGCGGCCACCAGGCUGAGGGACGGAGGUGACAGCUGCGCUCGUCGCCCCGCCCUUUCAGGAAGUUGAAGGGCUAGAUUUUAAAGACUAAGGUUUGAGCUACAUCUACUUAAUCAAGAAGGUUAAAGCUAGAAUUUUCGGCAGAGUAUGAGUGGUUUGUUCCAUCAUCCUGUGAAGACCUACCCCUGAAUCGCUCCGAGAGAUGCAUUGUGGACAGCGCAGCGGGUCUAUGGACUUUCCAGUGCUCUCAGCCACUCUGUGUUGUCUCCUUCCCCCCCUCCCCGGCGAGAAUUUCUCCCAUUUUGCCCCAAGUCACAACUGAGACCUCAAUGAUCUGGUGAUGCUGUGAUGCUCCAGUACAAGAUUACACCAGCUGAAGACAUCCUGGGAGGAACAAAAUCUUCAUCUACUCAGUUCCUCAUUGUUCUUGGAUUGUUACAUCUUGUUUACACCGAUGUACUGAACUUUCUGCAAGUUGUUUGUUAGCUUGUUACAUCUUAUUUACGAGUCAUUUGUUACAUUUGUUUCUCCCGAUGUACUGAAUAAAAGGUGCGGCAAGCUGGGGGCUUUUGUCUUUGCCAUCCCAGAGCAGCACUGAUCAGACCCAAAGCUCGGCUUCUUCUCAGUCUCAUUUUUCUACCUUUCCUGUAAUUCACCUUGUGCUGCCAUGGCUAGAGGAGACUAGGACUUACUGCAGAGGUUCUAGAAACGUCC